rnacentral:lncRNA from 1 species
GAAGAUUGUCAACCAUUGUUACUGUGGAAACCUUUGAAAAAAUGCUCCAUGAUAAAUUGGAUCUAGUGGCACAAAGGAAUCCCGAGCCUUCACGUGAUGUCUGCAGUUUGGACAGGAAAGGAAGUGAGAUAUAACACCUGCAAGGUGCUGUGACGCUCAGCAGUGGUUGUCAGUGCUGUUAGAAAUGUGCCAUGAAGCUCAAGCAAAGGGCAAGGAGUGAACAGCAAACUUAUUCUGAUGGAUGGAGGAAAUUUGAAUCUGAAUUUCACAUGAAUGCUCCUUGCGUCCCUGCUUCCUCCUGGACUCAUGCAGAGAAGCC